GACGAACGCUGGCGGCGGGCUUAACACAUGCAAGUCGAACGGAAAGGCCCUGCUUGUGUGGGGUGCUCGAGGGGCGAACGGGUGAGUAACACGUGAGUAACCUGCCCUUGACUGUGGGAUAACUUCAGGAAACUGGGGCUAAUACCGGAUAGGAGCUCCUGCUGCAGGGGGGGGGUUGGAAAGUUUCGGCGGUUUGGGAUGGACUCGCGGCUUAUCAGCUUGUGGGUGGGGUAGUGGCUUAGCAAGGCUUUGAUGGGUAGCCGGCCUGGGAGGGUGACCCGCUCCAUUGGCCCUGGGGAACGGCCCGUACGCAUUCGUGGGGCAGCGGUGGGGGCCUUUGCACACCGGGCCGAGUGUGUAUGGAGGAUCUCCGCGUGCGGGAUGACGGCAUUCUGGUUGUAAACCGAUUUAGUCUGUGACGAGGCGUGAUUGACUUUACUGGGUAAAGAAGCACCGGCUACCUCCGU
rnacentral:rRNA from 1 species